AUUGAACGCUGGCGGCAUGCCUUACACAUGCAAGUCGAACGGCAGCAUGGGUGCUUGCACCUGAUGGCGAGUGGCGAACGGGUGAGUAAUGCAUCGGAACGUACCCGGAAGUGGGGGAUAACGUAGCGAAAGUUACGCUAAUACCGCAUAUUCUGUGAGCAGGAAAGAGGGGGAUCGCAAGACCUCUCGCUUUCGGAGCGGCCGAUGUCGGAUUAGCUAGUUGGCGGGGUAAAGGCCCACCAAGGCAACGAUCCGUAGCGGGUCUGAGAGGAUGAUCCGCCACAAUGGGACUGAGACACGGACCAGACUCCUACGGGAGGCAGCAGUGGGGAAUUUUGGACAAUGGGCAACCCUGAUCCAGCCAUGCCGCGUGAGUGAAGAAGGCCUUCGGGUUGUAAAGCUCUUUCGGCUGGGAAGAAAUCGCAUCUCCUAAUACGGGGUGUGGAUGACGGUACCAGCAUAAGAAGCACCGGCUAACUACGUGCCAGCAGCCGCGGUAA
rnacentral:rRNA from 1 species